UGUCCUUUAUUUACUGGCUUAAUUUGAAGAAAGACUGUACUAGUAUGACGCUUUGUCUUGUUCUUGAAAUACUGGUUUAUUUUGAAGAAAGACUGUACUAGUAUGACGCUUUGUCUUGUUCUUGAUUUACUGGUUUAUUUUACGGUUGAGUGGCUUGUUUUGUAGUUAGUAAGUACUGGAAUGACGCUAUCUAUGCCUUAUAAUUGUUUGACUGGUUUCUUUUGUGGAUGGGCAGUGACGUUUUGUAUUGUUAUUGGUUGACUGGUUUGUUUUGUAGAUAAACAGUACUGGAGUGACACUUUAUUUAUUGGUUCACUAGAAAUACUUGAGAGACGCUUUGCCUCGUUCAUUUGCUUACUGGCUUAUAUUUUAGAUAGAAAGUACUGGAGUACUAAACUGUGGAUACCUCACAUAUAAAACAAAGAUGAAAAGUACCUCGUUACGGGGUAUCAGUUACAGGUGAAACAACAGUCAGAUACAUGUUAGUUGCAGCUACAUAUCACGACUGCUUAACGAAAGAACACUAACUCCUACAUUUUCUGUAAAUAAGGUUAAAUUAUUAAUACUGCUGAGCCAGCUUGUCAAACCAUUGUUCAACAGUACCUAAUUGUUGAGUCAAACCAAUGUUCAACCACACUUAAUUGUUGAGUCUAACAAUUGUUCGACCACAUCUAAUUUCCUCUUAGAUUGUUAUCUCCCAAGCAAAUAUGAGAAGAAAAAGAUAGUAACCAAUAAGUUGGCAAGCAGACCACUCUUCGGCCUCGAGAAGUAUCCAUAUUAAAGCAAACUUUGUUUAUGUAUGGAUGAUUAGUGGAAUCUUCGAGUGUUCUCUUUUAUAGAAAACAGCUUAAUGGAAAAAUUAGUGGUGAGGAUAAAAUUAUUUGGUAACUCGUGCUGUAAAGCACAAUAUGGUGAUAUUCUAAGGGUUUUAUUGUUUUACUGAAAAUUAUGCUGAAGUGAUUUCAUUGAUUUAUCUGAUAUAUAAACCUUUUAAAUGCAACUGAAAAAGAAUCUUUAAAAGUUUGACAACGUCACUUUCUUCCUACAGGCUUUUAUUAUCAUAUUGAGUUUUAUAAUAGGCCUUUACUAGAGACUUUUCCUUUGAAAAUUCUUUGUUUUCUUUACAAAGUACCAGAACGUUAUAAGUUUGUUUUUUUAAUUCCAACUGUGAUAGUCUUUUUCCAUACGUGUCUUAUUUUACAUGCUCAGAUAUCUUCUUUUUUAAAAUGCAAGAUAAAAAAGUUAAGUUAUGUUUAAAAAAAUUGAAAAUAAGAAUGUCUUUAAUCAGUUUGUCCUCUGAAUAAUUCAGAAGAAUAAAUUGGUAGCAUAAAUGCUACGUAUUCUUCAAAUCAACAGUGAGUAAAAGUCAUCACAUUUAUAAUACACAGUCUACCACUAUAAGAAUCUUAGCGUUAUUUUUUAAAAUUUGCUUU